GGAUUCUGGGUGAGAUUGCUGCUCUAUACACGCUAAAAGUAGUGAUUAUUUACAUGGAGUCUGGUGGGUUUGGUGAUGGUGAUUUCUGUUUCAUGUUUAACUAAAAGGAUCUUACUCUUUAACUAAAAGGUCUAUCUCUGUUGGGAUCCUUUCCAUAAUUUUUGUCAGACACCUAAAUAAUAAUCUGAGUCCAAUAACACAACUUUUUUUUGUCCACAUCAGUCACUUAGAUGUCAGCGCGUGGUUAAACAGCGUCCAGGUUGAAAACACAAAACAAAAUUACCUUUUAAUCUUCCCCUGGGGCAAAUCAUGGCAUAAAUGGAUUAGAGGUUUUACUAACGCACAGCUGCACAAGGACGACCCCGCCUAACAAAAAAAGUAAAGAUUUGCACUGGCACAGAACUAGAAAAGCAAUAUGUUACAGCAUCUGAGGUCAAAAACUUCUCGAUUAAGAUCAGAUUGUCAGGGUAUUAUUUUGGUUUCUCGGGUUAUUACGUCAUGCUGUUGUGUAACACUUUGAACUGUAUCCGCAUGCCGAGCCACACACGUAAGAAAACACACUGCUGCGCCUUCAAAUAUCUCACCUGUGCCCGCUGAACAUGCGUAUUUCCAUCAAGAAAUGUUUACAUACCGACACGUUGCUCAGGUUAGGGUGGACGUCGGAUCAGUGGACCGUGAGCUAGAUGAAUUUUCCCAUCAGUUGCUGUUAAUUUAGCAUUUUAAAAUCAGAGUAGUAGGUCAAUUGUGUUUUCAUUCAAGCUGUGAGCUAAGAUUUAUGUGAAGUAUUAACUAGUGUGAUUAGAGAAACUGAGACGUGAGCAGAAAUUAUCUUUCUUUUCAGUUUAUUUUUUGGGAUAGCAUGCUGCGGGACUGAAGCUCGUGGUUGGGUCUGACGCCUUAGAGGUUCUCUACUCCAAGCGUUUCUACGCCGUAGGUACAUGUCAGCCUGACCUCCAAAGAAAUGUCUCUACACGCUGCAGCGACGUGAUUGGUCCGCUCGGCCCACGGGGGUCAGCCUCUCCUCUCCUAGCGUAGCUCCCAUGGCGCCUUUUUAAUGCUAACAAGCCAUCCCAGUCAGGGAGAGGGUUCACUACCGUGGUCGGAUAUCUCGGGACGUGUUUCAGAGAGAUGAGGCGUCCUGUUCUCUUAACCCUCGUGUUGUCUUCCCAUCAAGAUUGAAAAUCAACACUUUUGUUUUUUUUGCUUUUUAUCAAACUUUUUCAACGUUUUUGUCCCUUUUUUCAACGUUUGUCCCUUUUUUUGACGUUUUCAACGAUACGUAACACUAACUUCUUAACUUUUUAGUUUUACAGUUAUUUUUGGAAUUUAUGGUCAAUAAACCUCAUUUAUAGGAAAUUAUACCUAAUGUUUGAGUUAGAAAAGCAGAAAUUAGGAAUCAUUGAGACUAAAAUUAAAGGAAUGGAUGUAUGAUAAUCACAGUAAUGGAAUAUGUCACUUUUACCUCAACACUAUUUAAACACACUUCCAUUUGUUUACAAUGCUAUAAAAUAGAAUAAACCCAAAAUAAGAGAGAUUUGUACUUGGCAAAAGAGACGUUGGUGGAUUCAUCAUGUUAUUUUGGGGAAUUAAAAAGAACAUUGAUAUAGGAACAAACUGAGACAACUGAUUGACAACAUGAGGACAACAUGAGGACAACAUGAGGGUUAACAUAGUGGAACAGUUUUACCUGCAUGGUUGUGUAUUUGCGGGUCCGGCGUGCCUGGAGCCGUCUGAUUUUUCCUUCUUUCUCCUUUUUUCGGCCACGCCCCGAUCCUUCAAUCAUCCCUGCAGUGCGUGUUGUUCACUGAUCCCAGAAACCAAGGAAAGCACACCUCUCACAGUGGAAUGACUUCACGUUACACAGCUGUCUGCAAGUUAUUCCCACGUCAAAACAGACGAAACUUAAAGUCCUAUGCAUGAAAUGUCUUGUGGUUCAAGAUAUGAAUAUAAAUAUAUAUAUAUAUAAACUUUGUAAGAAUGUAAGUCCAUCAAUGUUUACACUUCUUGCCCAUUACAUUCCUGUUGAUACUUUAUAUACAAGAGGCCAUUUUCUGCAUGACUCUGGUGUAAUCUGAAUGAACUGACAGCCUCCACGGGAUUGGCUGAUAAUCGCAAAUUAAAAAAAUGAAACUCUUAUAAUGUAAACAAGAGCCCGACCGAUACAGGAUUUUAAGGCCGAUACCGAUACGAAUAUUUGGUUAUUUAAAAGUCUGAUAUGCCGAUAUACACAAAAAAUCCAGGAACGGGCCUGACUCAGUUUAAAAACUGGUUUUCCGCAGGUUCCUGUUCUGCAGGAACAUAAAACAUGGGACAGCACGUCGGGACGGACGUUCGUACAGGACAUCGAUACGGACUAGACAAAUUUGGACAAUUAAGACAACAAUACAGUUACAUAAGGACAAAGACAUUUAUACAAGACAUCAGUUGGGCUAGACAGAUACAGACCAGAUUCAGAUCCGAGGAUGGAGAACGCUCCUGGGGGUCAGAUGAGAGAGGAACAAAUAACCGACGGAUGGUUUUGGAAGACUUGUUUGCUAGAAACAGUUCGCUAAACUCUGCAGAUUCUCAUCGUAGAUCCCAGCUGGAAGCUGCAUGAAACUGGUCUGCAGAUUCAGUCUGGGUCUGCAGAUAAUCCACCAAGCACAUCAUCGGAAGACUCUGGAAUCCGACUCUCGGCUGCAGAGACGGAGAUGAAUCUUUCUGUCCAUUCAGACGUCUUUGGUGUCUUACCUAGCGGUAGCAUGUUGGGCUACUUCACGCUACAGAUGAUGAUUAUCAUAAUACUCAAUAGUUAGAAAAGAAAAGCUAAACCCAUGACUGUCUUCAGCUUGAUUCUGCCGGUUCGUUGAAUGUUUUCUUGCUUUGUCUCUGUAUUUGUACAUAGAUGGUAGUGCAUGCACUGGGGAAACUAAUGUCUGUUUGCAAAGAACUUUGCAUGUAAAGAUUUUGCAGAGAGUUUACACGGAAUCAAUAAAAUCGAAUGAAAACUGACAAA